UAGUCCACGCCGUAAACGAUGGACACUAGUUGUUGGAAAGCUUGACUUUUCAGUGACGUAGCUAACGUGUUAAGUGUCCCGCCUGGGGAGUACGUCCGCAAGGAUGAAACCCAAAGGAAUUGACGGGGGCCCGCACAAGCGGUGGAGCAUGUGCUUUAAUUCGAUGCAACGCGGAGAACCUUACCUGGUCUUGACAUACCAUUGACCGUACUAGAGAUAGUAUUUUUUCUUCGGAAACAGUGGAUACAGGUGCUGCAUGGUUGUCGUCAGCUCGUGUCGUGAGAUGUUGGGUUAAGUCCCGCAACGAGCGCAACCCUUGUCCUUAGUUGCUAGCAGGUAAUGCUGAGAACUCUAAGGAGACUGCCUACGCAAGUAGGAGGAAGGUGAGGAUGACGUCAAAUCAUCAUGGCCCUUACGACCAGGGGCUAGACACGUGCUACAAUGGCUGGGUACAAUGGGUUGCUACUUAGUGAUAAGAUGCUAAUCUACAAAAAACC
rnacentral:rRNA from 1 species